AAAAUACCCCCUUCUUUUUGCGGUUCCUUUAUUAUUUAAUUUGGUAUAAGAAAAAAGAGAGGAAAUUUUCUCUCUGUGUUGCGUUGUGUGUGUUUUUUUUUUCGGUAUAGGGAGGGGUUGUUGAUGUCGCUGGCUGCGGUGGUGGUGUGUGCCCUGUGGGUUUUGUCUUCCAAGUCACUCCACCAGAGAAGAACACACAGUUAGGUAUAGGUGGUAGUAGUAUAGUUCUAGUUGUAGAGUUGGUUCCAAGGGAAUUGGGUGCUAAUCGCGACUGCUCACUCUCUCAAGCAAAGAAAGCUUGGACAGUUCUCUACAAUCUAAAAGCCCAGGAACAAGGAAGAAGCAAAGAGUUAGAACAAGAAAAAGAGGGGGGGAGAGAAAGAGGGGGAGAGAGGCGAUGGCGAUGGCGAUGAUCUCGGACUCCUCUCCCCAGCUCGGGCCCCCGGCGACGCUCGAUCUCGGGCUGGCCACACCGGCAUUGAUGGGAGAAUGCUCCGCCGCCGCGGGGGCGGAGCAAGGGGUCCAAUUGAGGAGGAAGGGAACGCUGGAGCAGCAGCUGUGAGUUCUAGUUCUUCUUCUUUCUUCUUCUUCUUCUUCUUCCUCCGGGAGUGAUUCCAAUUUCCUGCUGGGCCGAGCUCCUCGAUACGAUCCAGCAACGAAAAAAAAAAGCCCAGGAGGAGGAGAAAAAAAAGCGCACAUACGAGAAAAGAAAGGAAAAAAAAAAUACACAGGAGAAAAGCCGCGGACGAGGAGCGUAACAUGGCAGCCACAACGACGACAGGGGGGGGCACGGUGGCGGCGGGGGCGGGGUCGGCGGCGGGGGCAGCAGGGGGGAGUGGAUCGAUUGGGGGCGGAGGGGGUAGCGGCGCUGGCGGGGCUGGCGGCGGCGCUGGCGGAGACGAGGAUCUCACCGUCAAGACAAUGCGUAAGCGCUACGAGGGACUGCUGCUAGUGAGGAGCAAGGCCGUCAAGGGCAAGGGCGCGUGGUACUGGUCACACCUGGAGCCGAUCCUCGUCCACAAUCCCGACACUGGCACGCCCAAGGCCGUGAAGCUGCGAUGCGGCCUCUGCAACGCCAUGUUCUCCGCCUCCAACCCCUCGCGCACCGCCAGCGAGCACCUCAAGCGCGGCACUUGCCCUAAUUUCAGCGGCGCCUACCGCCCCCUCGGAUCGUCCCCGCCUCCGCCAGCGGCGGGCGUGGCGGCCGCCGCUGCCGCGAUCGCCACCGCCACCACCCCGAAAUCCUCCUCCGGCCGCAAGCGCGCCGCGGCAUUGUCCUCGCAGAAUCAACAGCAGCAGCAGCAGCAGCAAAGCCUCGCGAUCGUGCCAGCGGCGCCACCGGCUCCGGGAUCGUCGGUUCCAGCGGGAUCGGGCGCGGCGGCGGCACCGGCGGCGCUGGAUGAGAGGCUGCCGCUCCACCUCUCGGGCGGCAAGGAGGAUCUGGGCGCGCUGGCGCUGCUCGAGGACAACGUGAAGCGGAUCAAGAGCCCCGGACUGAAGCCUGGUUCUAGCGGCGGUGGCCUCACCAAGGAGCAAGGGGAGGCCGCCAUCGCGCUCCUCGCGGACUGGCUCUACGAGUCCCACGCCACCGUGCCCCUGGCGGUGGUAGAGCAUCCCAAAUUCCGGGCCUUCCUCGCGCAGAUCGGGCUCCAGGGCGCUGCCAGCCGGCGGCUCCUGGCGGGGCCGCGGCUGGACGCGCGAUUCGAGGAGGUGAAGAGGCAAUCCGAGGCUCGGCUGGGCGACGCGCUCUUCUUCCAGAUCUCCACCGAUGGCUGGAAGCGCCGCUCGAUCUUUCCAAUCUCUCCUUCCUUGGCGCUGUCCUCCCCGGCGGCGAUGGCAAUGGCCGCGAUGGCGAUGGAUCCUUCUUCCUCCCCUUCCAGCGUCAGCGAUCUCGUCUACAUCACGAUCAAUCUCCCCAAUGGCAGCAGCCUCUUCUGGCGCGCGCUGCCGAUCGGCGGUAGCGGCGGGGCGAAGGCAGUGGAGGCGAUCCUCGAGGAGGCGGUGGCGGCGCUGUGCGGCGGAUCGCCGGAGCGCUGCGUGGGGAUCGUGGCGGACGCGGGCAAGGCGGUGAACAAGGCGCUGCGCGAGGUGGAGUCCCGGCGGUCCUGGAUCGUGAGCGUCCCCUGCCAGGCACAGGCCUUCGCCAGCCUCCUCCGCGACUUCGCCAAGCGAUCCCCGCUCUUUCGAUCCGUCGCAACCGACUGCCUCAAGCUCGUCGCCUUCUUCUCGGGCAAUCACCCCGCACGGACGCUCCUCCAGCGCUUCCAGCGCGACGCCUACGCGAGGAUCCGCGCCCUGGCGGAGCUCGCCGAGGCGGCGGCGACCGCAGCAGCAUCAGCGAGCUCCUCCUCCGCCAGCGCGGCCGAUCGCGACGCGGUGGAUCCCGCGCUAGCGCUGCUCCUCCCGGACGGGAUCGCCGCCAGCGCGCGCGCGCUCCACGCCAUCGUCGCGGACGCGUCCUUCAAGAUGGUGUACGCUGGCGGGGACGACCCGGCGGCGCGCGAGGCAUCGGAGAUCGUCCUCUCGCAGGGGUUCUGGAAGGAUUUGGAGGCGGUCCAGGCGAUCUCGCGGGUGGUGGCGGUGAUGAUCCGCGACAUGGAGGCCGAGCGCCCGCUCGUCAGCCAGUGCCUGCCAAUGUGGGAGGAGCUCCGGGACAAGCUCAUGGAUUGCUGCGCGCGGCAUGGAAAGGAUCAAGCGUCGAUCAUGCGGCUGAUCCAGGCGCGAUUCACGACGAACUACCACCCGGCGUGGUCGGCUGCGCUGGUACUCGACCCGCUCUACCUCGUCAAGGACGCAAACAACCGCUACCUCCCGCCAUACAAGAUCCUGAGCUCCGAGCAGGAGAAGGACGUGGAUCGGCUCAUCACGCGGCUGGUUUCGCGCGAGGAGGCGCACAUCGUGCUCAUGGAGCUCAUGAAGUGGCGGUCCGAGGGGCUGGAUCCGCUGUACGCGCAGGCGGUGCAGGUGAAGGAGACGGAUCCGGCGACGGGGAGGGUGAAAUGUAUGAGCGGGCAGAGCCGGAGGCUGGUGUGGGAGACGUGCUUGAACGAGUUCCGGCUGCUGGGAAAGGUGGCGGCGAGGUUGAUCUUCUUGCAUGCGACGUCCGGGGGGGUGAAGAGCUGGGCGCUCAAGGUGGCGGGGAAAGGUGGCGGAGGGUUUGGAGGCGGAUUUGGGGGCCUUGGGAGGGUGGCGGCGGAGCGGGCGGGGAAGAUGAUGUACGUAGCGGCGCACGCGAAGCUGGAGCGGCAUGAUUUCGUGACUGACGAGGAGCGGGAGUUUUUGGCGGCGGCGGUGGAGGAGGAGGAGGAGAUGGGUGGCGGCAGCUUGGCACGGACGAGUAGUGGGACUAACAGGGAGGGUGGCGGCGGUGGGAAUGGUGGUGGUGGCGGGGAUCAUCACCACCACCACCAUCACCAGCAGCAGCAGCAGCAGCAGCACGAGGGGUUUCUAGGACCUGGAGGAGGAGGAGGAUCGACUCACUUGUAAAACUUUCUACGGAGUUCUUAGAACUUUGGGAUGGUGAACAUCUUGACUCUCACUCACACAACUCGGCUGGAUCGUUUCUAGGAAGAUUCGGGGGAGGAGUCGAUCGAAAUAACGAGAGAGGCGAGGCGACUGAGGAAGAAAUUGGGACUCUUGGAGGAGGAUCAAGGUUUCAUUUUUGAUGAUUGAUGGCUUUCUUGCUUUGCAUGCUUUGCUCGACAAAGUUAGCGAGCGAGCUUGCCUUGUUUGAUUCGAGCAUAGGCAUCUGGCCAAGUUGGCGAACCCCCCCUUUUGUAAAUUUCUUUUGUUUCUCAUCUUUGAUACACAGAUAGACAAUAGAUCUCUCCGAUCUCUCUUGGAGAAUAAGAAUCCGGAGUUUCUUUGGAUUCGCGUCAUUUAAAAAAAAAGAAAGAAAAUCGAUGGCAAUACCAUAUUCUCUUUCUUCUCUCUCUCUUUUUCAGGUGUGAAAGGUGAAUGUAUUGGAGAGAAUGGGGACGGACGAGUAUUAAUUGCUGGCUUGCUUGCAGAUUUGCUUGGCACCGGUUUUGAUGGGACAGUGUCUGGUUUUGGUUCGAGGAACUUAAGGAACGGUUCAAAUCAAUCAAGCAAACGGGAUAAGGAGACGACGACGAUAUCUGGAUCUGCGGCGGCGAUCGUCUUAACGUUAAGCGUCUUGCUUUUCUCCGUAGUUUUGGCUUUCGCUGAAUUCAAUCAAGAGAAGAACGGGCUUUGAUGAUGUGAAACUGAAGAUCCAAAUCCCUGGAGGGCAAAGGCAAAUCUAUCAAUCAGGCACUGAGUUUGGUGUAAGCGUGCACGAUCCAUCAAGCCAAGGGAGGCCCUUGGAGUUUACAACGUCAUUGCCAGGAUCUUGUUGGAAAUUGGAAUCCUUUGAGUUGAGAUGGAACACUAUAGGAGAAACGUUUUAGCACGCAAACUCUUAACAGGGGAGAAAAACCCAAGAAGACUUACCUGGUUGGCUGCCACGAAGAACGUCAAUAAAGAUCGAUCUCUUCCUGAAGAACUGGAUGGUUUUAAAAGUUCCUGUAUUGAUCGAGCUGGCGCUUCUUGGCCAGAUCGCUGAAAAUGUCUGCCGAGUUGCGCUUGUACCGGAGGAAAAACUCCGCCAUCAAGAUCUCUUGCUGCUCCGGCUCUAGAUCUCCAUGAAUGCCCUGGACGGAUCAUCACAAACGCUGUGAGAAACUCCUCACGCUUCCAGUGACUUCAAACUUACAUUCCUAGCGAUCCUGUCACAAACGGCAUGACGCAUGAGAAUUCCAGCCGCGACCGACACGUUGAGAGAAUCCACCAUACCAAACAUUGGAAUCCCGCAAAGUAUGUCCGCCUCGGACGUGGAGUAGUCACUGGCACCCCUGCGUGUAAGAAACUACAAACUUAAGAAAGCUUCUUUUCUAUAGCUGAAAAGAAACAUCCAAUGACGACUAGCUUACUCGUGCUCGUUACCGAAAAUCACUGCAGUUGGAAUCGUCCAGUCCAUUUCACAGAUAGAAACCUGGCAAGGACGAAGAACUUAUAAACAAAAAAAACAAAAAACAAGAGGAAAAAUAGAGGUUUUAGUACCGUGUCAUGACCUGUGCUUGUCACUGCUAUCCGGUAACCCCGGGAUCUCAAUGCCUGGAUACAAUCUUUUGCGCAAUUCCAUACCUCAACAUCUAGCCACCGUUCUGUCCCUCUAUGUGCUCUCCUCACACCUUUGUACCUGAAAAUCACACACAAAAACAACAAAUGAUAUAGACGAAAGCUCGCUCAUCAUUCCAAAAACUCACCCUUUAACAGUGAGAGACGUGAUCACAUGAACGGACUGGAAGCCAAAUGCUUCCGCGGAUCUAAAGAUGGCGGCGAUGUUGCCCGCGUUGUCCAGAGCCUCGGCCACGAAACACGCCGAGUAGCUCCUGCUGCGCACAACCCGCUCAAAGCGCUCCUUCAUUUGCUUCUCCACGAACUCGGCCAGGGAAGCAAUCACCACUUUGCUGCUGGAUGAUUGCUUCUCCGGUUUAUCCAGAUGGAACUCGUCCUUGUAGGGGAACCAGGGACGAUUGGAUGCCGGGACAGCAUCGAUCAAGCAUGCCUCGUGGUUGAAAAUCUCUAUAAAGAGUGGUCUGGAAUCACAACGUUUUGGAGAAUCUUACCUGGGACAAUGGCGGGAGGACUCGUUGAAGGUGUUUGCUGCCGCUGGAACGAAAACCGCACGGGGGAAAUCGCACUAAGGCAGAGCAACAUCAGGAAACCCUAGCAUUCUCCAAAAUGGAAAAAAGUAAAUAUAUAAACACUAAGGGUUACAAAGAAAAGAAGCUAGAUAAAUAGAUCAACUAGGAGUAACUUGGUUUCUUAGUAUGUAAAAGAAAUAAAGAGAACUAGAACAGAAUAAAAAGAAUUGGUGCUAAACUCAUUUAUAUUUGUGCUUUUGGGCUUUUAUUUUACAUGUUAUUUAUUCAAAUAAAUAUCUUAUAUUUAUAGUAAAUUAUAAUAAAAAUAACUUAAAUAUAAUUUAAAAGAGUUGUUAAAUAUAUAUAUAUAUGUAUAUACAUGUAUUAUCCUACCUAAAUAAUAUGAUAAUUAUAGUACUAGGAUCAUCCAUUUAAGACUUAAUAUGGUCCAUUUAUUCUUGUAUAUAAAAAGUAGUCUAAACCCUAAUUAAUAUACUUAUUCGAGCACUCACAUUUGUGGAAGUGAAGAGCAUUGUAAUUUAUUCCUGAAGGGUAAAGCUUUUUGGCAGUACUUUACUUUAGUGUUUGGGAUUGUGUUUCUUGUUUUUAUUUCUUUAUUCUUUUUUAAAUUUAUAUUUAUAUAAGCUUUUUGCAAGAUUUAGAAUUCUAGCUUUCUUUGUGCUUAGAUUUGCUUUUUUUUCUAAUCUUCAUUGCAUUUUCUUUUUCUACCAUGUCAAGAGGUAUAUCACUUAAGGUUGUUAAUGUCAUUCUGUUGGACUGAGUUUUUGGUGUUGUGGGGUGUAAUUGUAUUAGUGUUACACCCAUCUUUGGUGUGUUAUUAUCUCUAUCUUUUAUGGGGAUGUGAUUAUUUAAUUUAUCAUGUUUUCAGUGUUUUGCCAUCUCCUAUUUAUGUGGAGCGUGAUCGUGAUAUUGAUUGGUAAAUUAUAGAUGAUGCAAUUUAGUUUUUGGAGAAUGUUUGAACAUCAAGUUUAUGGGAGGAUAAUGUUUACGAGCUUGAGUGGAUUCUAAAUUGUGAUAAGGAUCUUGAUUAUUAUAAAGAUAGCUUUGGAGAUGAGUUAAAAAUUUCGCAAGGUAAAUGUCAAUUUGUAAGCCAUUAAAUUUCUAUUUUACUUUAGUCAUUUAACCAUGCCUUUGACCAUUUGCAGAAGUUUUGCUCACGACCUCCAUAAGUCCUAUUCUUGACUUAGGACAUGCUAGCCCCAUGUAGCACACGUGGUUUUGACCCUUUAUCCUAUGGUGAUUUACCAUAGGAUAACACCACGAAGCGGAACCUAAACCCUCUUUAUGCCACGUGACACAGGCCACGUGUUAUAUGCCACGUGUCCAAAGGACAAUGGUGCGGAACUUAAGGUUCAGGGCCUUGGGCCACUGAACGAAGGAACGGUGCCAAACUCCCAAGCAUGGAGCUAAGGAGUGAUGGAACGGACCACAGAGCAACUCCUGAGCAUACAGCCCAAGGAGCGAAGGGACAAGAGCCCGGAGUGACUUAAAACAAUCCUAGAGCAACCAGUAUCCCAUUGCCAGGACCAGCACGCAAAACGGAGCCAAAUGGAGUCUGGCACUAUUUCAGCAUACUAGUGGCCUAAUGCAAGGACAUGGGUAUUCCACCAGCUAGCAUGGAAAAGAACUUGGGCUUAGACCCAAGCCGGACACAGAACAAGGAUAGGCAUGCAAGUAGGAGCUAGACUAUGCCUCAGGUUGGUCAGCCAUGCUUGACUUACCCACUAUCCCUACUAUACAUUUGGAACCCCCCCCCCCCCCCCUCCCCAAGGAACACAUGUUUUGGGUUUUCACCCCAAGCCUCCUUUAGUAUCAGGAGUUAGUCUCUGGGACAAGCUUGAAACUUACUAAAUAUGGAAUGGCGCUAGAUUGCAAAUUUGGACAAGGGACGAACACCAUUGUGUUCAAAACAAUCUUUACAUUCCGUAGAUAUGCCAAAUGAGCAAAUCUGAACACAUUCCAUAAAUAGCAUUUGGGACCAAAAUGAGACUAACACAAAGGGUAUGAUAGCAAGGGUGUUUGGAAGACAUGGAAAGCUAUCAUUCAGCGAUAUUGAGAGACUAGUCUCAAUACGUGGGGGUUCUUGAUACUAGCAAGUCUAAUGACAGGAGUUUCUCAAACCAGGCCGAGUAUGCUCAACAAGAAACACAUAAGGUUCCUACUUUAUGUUUAUCUGAUUUAAAUACACAGUCACUGACCAGUUUCUCAACUAGCUCAAAUGGGAACUGAUAACGGGUCCAGCAAUAUGUGAGACACAAAAUCCCUAGGCCCCAAAGUGGAGCCGAAAUGGUGCCACGUGGUAGUGGCCAAAGCGAAAGCCAAACGAGCAUAACACGUUUGGACUAAAAGCUCCAACUUGAAAGGUUGAGAGUGGGAGUGGGACUCUCAACAAAGUGCUCGAGGAACAAGCACAAAGCGAGCAAUAAGCAAGGCUCCAAAAAGGGACCCAAAAGGACCAACACAUGACACAUGGGAGAGUCCGAUAUGGAGUCCGAGAUGGGACCCGAGAUGGAGUUCGAGAUGGACCUGAGAUGGAGUCUGAGAUGGAGUCCGAGAUAGACCCGAGAUGGAGUCCGAGGUGGACCCGAGUUGGAGUCUAAGGUGGACCCGAGAUGGAGUCCGAGAUGAACCCGAGAUGGAGUCCAAGGUGGACACGAGUUGGAGUACAAGGUGAACCCGAGAUGGAGUCUGAGAUGGAGUCCGAGAUGGACCCGAGAUAGAGUCCGAGAUGGACCCGAGAUGGAGUCCGAGAUGGAGUCCGAGAUGGACCCGAGAUGGAAUUCGAGAUGGAGUCUGAGAUGGAGUUCGAGAUGGAGUCUGAGAUGGACCCGAGAUGGAGUCCGAAGUUGAGACCGAGACCGGGACCGAAACCGGGACCGAGACCGAGACCGAGACCGAUAUCGGGACCGAGACCGAGGCCGAGACCGAGGUCGAGACCGAGUCCAAGUCCGGGUCCAAGUCCGAGUCCGAGUUUGAGUUUGAGAGGGUGAAAGCCCAAAGCAUUCAUCUCCCAGACCCUAGGGGGUUUGGUGAGCUCCAAAAGUAUAGUGAGAGGGAGGACUGCAGUGGAGCCAAUUUGGCCAGAAAAGGCUAGUUUGGCCCAGGAAGGCUAUACCCUGUGUUGGGUGAUGAGCUGCCCAUUGGGAAGUCCAAGACUAGAGUGAACAUGGACCGACAAGUAGGGUAGCUUGGUAAAGUGUUCAAGAGUUGGCUCUAGUUCCUCCAGGAGAUCGACUAGCCGAUGCUCCCAGUCCAAGUGUGGGUGGCACUACUUACUUGGAUACCAGGUGUGGUUCAAUGGAACCUCACUCUAAGCCCAUGGCUAGAGCACCCAAAGGCAGAAGGCGGGGAGAGUACCCAUGAGGUUCGCAUAAGGCCACGGUGUUCCGAAAUGUUGUCCCAAAGUCCCAGACUGUGAAAAGGAAGAGGAGCCAUCCUAUAGUGUAGAGACCAAGGAUAUGGUCAUGUGAGGAGGAAGUCCCAGAAGACCAUGGGAUUUAGUGGUCGGGCCUAUGGGCCUCAAUCCAGUGGCAGUGUUGGCGAACACGGCCAUGGGCAAAAAGGGACUUGGUGGGGACCAGAAAGGGGAUAUUGGGGAAGGCUAUUCCCCAUAUCCAUCGGCAUCCUAAAGAUGAUAAGUAGUGGAUCUAGGAUGAUCACUCAUGGAUGGAUGGCUUAGUCUUUGAGAGACGGGACUGGGAUGUAGGUGGUGUCAGACCACUGAUAUAACCAAGGUGAAUGGGUAUGGCCUUAGCGUAAUGGGUUGAUAUGUCAGUGGUACCUUGGGGUGUCAGUCAUGGGAUCGGACACGUGGAGCACUUGGACCAAGUGCAAAGGUUGAGUGGCAGGGAUGCCAUUCUCAAGGCUACCAAACCCAAAUCCAAAAUAGGACUUAUGGAGGUUGUGAGUGAGAUUCCUCCAAGUGGUCGGAGGUGUGGUUAAGUGAUUAAAGUAGAUUGGAAAAAUUAGUCGCUUACACAAUAUCGACCUCCUACCAUCAUGGCAGUAAGGUAAGAGUGUCCGUAAGGAUUGGUUAACAAGUAACUUUCGAUACCCGAAGUUACAUUCGCAACACCCUAUGAAUAGAAUCUAUGCCACAUAGCCUUUGCACUUGGUCUAAGUGUUCCACGUGUCCAAUCCCAUAACCGACACUCAAAGGUACCACCGAUAUAUCAUCCUGCUACACUAAGGCUAUGAUCAUUCACCUUUGUCACAUCGGUAGUCCAAGACCACCUACAUCACAAUCUUAUCUCUCAAGGAUUGGGCCAUCUGCCCAUGAGUGGUUAUCCCUUAACCACACUUUAGCACUAUUAGGAUGCCUAGAGACAUGGGGAACACCCUUCCCUAAUACCCCUUCUUCCAUCCUUACCAAACUUCUCUUCAUCGACAGCCGUGCUUGCCCACACCACCACUGGGUUAAGGCCAAAAGACCCGACCACUAAAUCCUACUGUCCUUUAGGACUUCCUCACCAUAUGACAGUAUCUUUGGUCAUUAUACCAAAGGAUUACUUUUAUUCCUUUCCACAAUCUAGGACUUUGGGAUGAUAUUUCGAAACACCAUGGCCCUAUGCAAGCCUUGUAGGUACUUUCCCCACCUUUUGCCUUUAGUUGCUCUAGCCAUGUGGCUAGAGCGAGGUUCUAAUGAGCCACACCAAGUAUCCAAGUAAGUAGUGCCACCCGCACUUGGAUUGGGAGUAUCGACCAUUUGAUCUUUCGAAAGAGCUAGAGCCAGUUUUUGAACACUUCACCAAGCUAUCCUGUUUGUCAGUUUGUAUUCACUCUAGCUUUGAACUCCUCAAUGGUUUAAUCAUCACCCACCAUGUGGGUAUAACUUUCCUUGGUCACAUUAGUUUUUCUUGGCCAAACUGGCUCCAUUGGAGUCCUCCCCCUAUUAUACUUUUGGAGCUCACUAAACCCCCUAGGGUCUGAGAGAUGAACACUUUAGGCUUUCACCCUCGAACUCGGACUCGAACUCAGACUCGGACUCAAACUCGGAUUUGGACUUGGACUCAAACUUAAUCUCGGUCUCAGUCUCAGUCUCAGUCUCGGCCUUAGUCUCAGUCUCGAUCUCGGUCUCGGUCUUAGUCUUGACCUCAGACUCCAUCUCAGGUCCAUCUCAGACUCCAUCUUGGGUCCAUCUUGGACUCCAUCUCAAGUCCUUCUCGAACUCCAUCUCAGACUCUAUUGCGGGUCUAUCUCAAACUCCAUCUUGGACUCCAUUUUAGACUCCAUUUCGGACUCCAUCUCAGGUCCAUAUUGGACUCCAUCUCGGACUCCAUCUCGGGUCCAUCUUAGGUCCAUCUCGGACUCCAUCUAGGGUCUAUUUCAGAUCUAUCUCAAACUUCAUCUCGAUACUUCCAUUUGUCAUGUGUUGGUCUUCUCAUGUCCCUUUUCUAGAGACUCACUUAGUACUUGCUUUAUGUUCAUUCCUCAAGAUUUUCGUUGGGAGUUCCACUCCCACUCUCAACUAUCCAAGUCGGAACUUUUAGUCUAAAUGUGUUACACUUGUUUGGCUUCUACUUCGGCUCUUACUAUGUGGCACCCUUUUAGCUCCACUUUGGGGCUUAGGGAUUUGUGUCUCACACAAUCCUUUAAUCUACCAUUUAAUUGAUUUAAAUAGUUGUCUUAGAGGAUUAUUGAUGAGCAAACUUAAAAGUAAUUGCUACAAUGGCAUUUCAUGAACUAUAAUGGUUCUUGAAGUCCCUUGUUUUAGUUCAAAAUUAUGGCUUCAAAGUUAGUUUAAGCAUUUAAUAAUUUCAUAUGGAGUUAUAACUAGUCCAUAUGCUAAAGUACUAUAAUUAGCAUAUUACUUAAGCAAGGUAAUACAUAUAUAUGUGUUUACAAAUCUUACACCAUCCUCUCUUCAAGAAGAUGAAAAGGUAAUAACAAUAAGUUAAAUGGAACAUCUAGAGCUUCUAUUAAGGGAUUAUAAACUAUUAUAAAAACUUGAAACUUCCAUAUAACCAUUAAUAUAGUAGUUGAUAAGCAUAAUUGAAAUAAAAUUUAAAGCCAUGGUAUAAAUAGUAGUUGAUUGAGAUUCCACAAUCAACUACUAUUUAUGCCAUGGCUUUAAAUAGUAGCUAUGGCAUAAAUAGUAGUUUUGAUAUAAUAACUUUUAACUAUGUGAGAAGGUUUCAGGAAUCCCCCAAUUCUUGCCACAUUCCUGACUCUCGCCGGAUUCCUGACCUGCAGACCACAUUCCUGACUCUCGAGACACUUCCCUAUUCCUGACUCUCGAGACACUUUUUUAUUCCUGACUCUCGAGAAACUUCCCGAUUCCUGAGUCUCGAGCCACAUUCCUGAUAAUGAUGUGGCGCCUCCUCGACCUCAGCUAUAUUUAGGCCGUCCUCGAUCCAAGAGUGGUGGAGCUUCAUCAACCUAUGGUAUAUAUAGGUUAGCCUUGUUCCAUUUCUCCACAAUCUGAAUCAACGCCAGUCUAAGGCCUCUUCUUUGUUUCCACUAGCUUUUCUCUUUGUCUUUUUGCAUUUUCCAAUCUUGAUCUUGUCAGGGGUCUUGACAAUUUGAUUCAGAUUGUGUUUUUUCAUUUUUUGAUUUAGCUCGUUUUGAUUGUUUGAUUACCUUUGCCUUUUUUUCCCCCUUUUUCCUUUCUUCUUGCCAAUGGAGUCUCCAAGCCAUCCUGAUUUCUUUGCUGAAGUCCUUGCAAAAAUCCAGUAUGAGAAUACCGAGUUGAAGGCAACCCUUCUUCGCAUGCAGCAAGAGCUUGCUUCACUUUCGGCUCAAGGAUCCAGCAAAGUUCCUGAACCGAAGGUGAGCUUCCCGGCGAAAUUUUCAGGCAAGCGUUCAGAGCUUUGCGGAUUCCUGAACCAAAUGGAGUUGAUCUUCGCACUUCAACAUCGGCGGUACCCUACUCCCGAGUCUCAAAUCGGCGCGAUUGGGACGUUGCUCGAAGGUGCAGCUUUGUCAUGGUUUUCUCCUCUUCUGGAGAAGAGCAUGAAAGGGGUCAUGGUUCCAGAGCUGAUGGAUCUUCAAUUGUUCAAAGAGAAGCUCGAAGCAUGUUUUGGCGAGACGGAUCGGGUUCGGGCUGCUACCACAAAGAUGAGACGUCUCUCUCAGGGGUCUCGUCCUACCUCGAUCUAUGCUGCAGAGUUCCAACUCCUUGCUUUGGACACUCAGUGGGAUGAGCGGGCCCUGAUUGACCAAUUUCGUUUUGGCCUCAACAACGGUGUCAAGGAUUUGUUGCUCACCAUGGAGGAUCCCAAGGACCUGUCGGAUGCCAUCAACAAAGCUGUUCGAUAUGACAAUCGUCUCUUUGAACAUCGUCAGGAAAGUCACCGCGCCGCUGUUUUUCCGUCCCAGACUCAGGAAUCCCAGCUUGAGUCUUCGGGGCAUACUCCUGAACCUACUGCUCCGGUUCCGAUGGAUAUUUCUGGUACUCCCCGACUCAUUAGAGGGAAGUUGAGUCCUGCUGAGAAGCAACGUCGAAUAUCUCAUAAUCUUUGCCUCUAUUGUGCUGAUCCUAAUCACAAAGCAGCUGUAUGUCCCAAGAAGCCUCCUCGACUGCUCGAGUUCACUCUGCCUCAAAGUCCACCUCUAUUGCAGUCAGGAAACGACCCUGUCUAAAUAGAGUAGGAGCUGUCUGUUUGGACUCCCCAAAUAAAAAUCACUUUUCUUCUCUAUCAAGCUCCUCACCACCUUUCAUCAAAGCCACCACCAAUUCCCGCAACUUCCACGUCCCAUGUCUCCUUUCUUUCACCGGACAAUCAGGACUCAAGGCUCUGGCAUUACUGGACUCGGGUGCAACUUCCUGCUUCAUGGACACGGACUUUGCUGCCCGACAUCACGUUCCUCUUUCUCCUACCAUAUGGGAUUUGAGGGUUGAAGGCAUCGGCGGGCAUUUUGUGUCUCCAUCUUCUGGACUUAGGGAAACGUUGCCCGUUCGAGUACACAUCGGGUCCACCGUCACCGAUAUCGCCUUCAACAUCAUCAGCAGCAAGUCCUCCUCUGUGGUGCUCGGUCUUCCUUGGUUCCAACUACAUCAGCCUCAGAUCUGUUAGAAGGAAUUACAACUCAUCUCUCCCACGGCUUCCCCUGCUGUUCAUCGAGUCCGAAUCAGGAAAAGUUCCCUAAACUCAAAUCGUGGUUCUGUUCCUGACUCCAUAAAGUUUUCACCCUCUUCUUUUUCCUCUCUUCCAUCUUACACUGGACCGUAUCCUCAUCUCAUCAUUCCAUUUAGUCAUACGCCUCCUCCUAUCUCCACAAUCACUAUGAAAAAACUCCUUCAUGAAGAACCUCUUUUUCUUUUUGCUUUGCAUGUUUCUCCUGUCAGUCUUCCUGAGAAGUAUCAUGAUUUUGGGGAUGUGUUUGACAAGAAAAAAGCUAGUGUACUGCCUGUUCAUCGGCCUUAUGAUUGUCCCAUUGAUUUACAGGAAGGAGCGUCACCUCCGUGGGGGCCUAUCUAUGGGUUAUCCCCGUCCGAGCUUAAGGCCCUCAAAGAGUACGUGGAUGAGAACCUUGCCUCGGGCUACAUUCAGCAUUCGCAGUCCCCGGCUGGAGCGUCUGUCUUUUUUGUCAAGAAGAAGGAUGGGAGCUUGCGGCUAGUCAUCGACUACCGAGGUUUGAACAAGGUGACUGUUCGGAACCGUUAUCCGCUGCCCCUGAUCUCGGACCUGUUGGAACGCCUCGGCGGUGCCCGCUUCUUCACCAAGAUCGACCUCCGUGGAGCAUACAACCUGAUCCGGAUCCGGCCUGGUGAUGAAUGGAAGACUGUGUUCCGAACCCGCUAUGGCCACUUCGAGUACACUGUCAUGCCAUUUGGCUUGACAAAUGCUCCAGCAGUUUUCCAACACAUGGCAAACGACGUCUUUCGGGAGUUUCUUGAUCAGAUGGUGAUCGUUUAUCUCGAUGACAUCCUCAUCUACUCAAAAACUCAGGAGGAGCAUGACGAACAUGUUCGCAAGGUGCUAGCGAAGUUGCGAGAACACGGCCUAUACGCAAAGCUUGAGAAAUGUUCCUUUGAUCAGCAGUCUGUGGAGUUCCUUGGGUACAUUGUCACUCUUGAGGGUCUCACGAUGGAUCCUGCCAAAGUCAAGACUAUUCUCGAAUGGGAGCCUCCACAAUCAAUGUCAGACGUUCAGGUUUUCCUUGGCUUAGCCAACUUCUACUGCAAAUUCAUUGAUCACUACUCUGACAUUGUCCUUCCUCUCACACAUCUCACUCGCAAAGAUGUUCCCUUCUCUUGGUCUGCUUUUGCCCAGCAGGCCUUCGACACACUCAAGGCGGCCUUCAGUUCUGCUCCUGACUUGAUCCAUGCUGAUUCCUCACAACCUUUCUUCAUCAAGGCUGACGCCUCCGACUUUGCCAUUCGUGUUGUGCUGUCUCAACUCGGAGCGGAUCAUGAACUUCAUCCGGUCGCUUUCCAUUCUCAGAAAUUCCAGCCUACGGAGAUCAAUUACGAAAUCCACGACAAGGAGCUCCUUGCCAUCGUGGAUUCCUUUGGAGAGUAGCGCCGUUUCUUGGAGGGGGCAAGCCAUCAAACAACAGUCUGGACGGAUCACAAAAAUCUCAAGUACUAUGCCACUUCCCGAGUUUUAAGCUGUCGUUAAGCAAGGUGGGCACAAUUCCUGAGUCGGUUUGACUUUGUUAUCAAGUACAGACCUGGAAAGUUUCAAGGCCUUCCUGAUGCUCUUUCAAGGCGCUCCUAUCUCAGUCUCAGGCCUGGUAAUCCUGCCUUCGAUCAACAGGAUCAAGUUAUCCUCGGUCCUGAUCGGCUUCAAGUUAUGGCAAUUUCCCUGGCCCCUCAGGACUCUUCCUUGAUGGAUGCAAUCAAAAACGAUCUUCAAUCCGAUGAUCUUGCUAGCGACAUUUUCCCCCAUCUUCAGGCUGGACACCCAGUGACUCCUGACUACCGGCGAUUUGACGAGUUCGAGUUCUUAGAUGGCUUAUUGUACCGUGGGGAGCAGCUUUACGUUCCUGAAGGUGAUGCUCGAAGGUUGGUCCUGAUGGCGUGCCACAAUAGCCCAACUGCUGGUCACUUCGGCAUUGCGAAAACUUAUGAGCUAGUUGCACGGGACUUUUGGUGGCCUCAUAUGGACGACUACAUCAAAGCUUUUGUUACCUCCUGUUACACUUGUGCCCAGAAUAAGGUACCUCGCCACCUUCCUUCAGGUUUGCUUCGUUCCCUUCCGGUCCCUUCAGGUCCUUGGGAAUCCAUCCCAUGGAUUUCUUGAGUGAUCUUCCGAGUUCUGGAGGCUUCAAUAGCAUUUUAGUCGUGGUGGAUCGCUUCACAAAGAUGGCGCACUUCUUGCCAUAUACCAAGGAGUUUUCGGGCGAGGACAUGGCAAAACUGGUAUUCAGGGAAAUUUUCCGACUUCAUGGGAUUCUUACAGAUGUGGUUUCGGAUUGGGGGCCUCAGUUCAUCUCUCAUUUCUGGCAACAGUUUUUGCAGCUGCUUGGAGUGAAGGCCAACCUCUCUUCGGCAUAUCAUCCUCAAACUGAUGGGCAGCCCGAGCGAACGAUUCAGACGUUGGAACAAUUCUUGAGGUGCUUCAUCAACUAUCAUCAGGAUAACUGGUUUGAUAUCCUUCCCCUUGCUGAGUUCUCCUAUAACAACUCUGUUCACUCCUCUCUUCGAGUUUCCCCCUUCUUUGUGAACUCUGGCCGAAAUCCCCGAUUCAAUCUCUCACUUCCUUCUCCAUCUGAAUCCUCUCGUUCAAAUCCCCGCUCUGAGGCAUUUAUCUCCAACCUCCAGGAAAUCCACAACUCCAUCUCCUUCCACCUCCAUCGUGCUCAGGAAUUUCAUAAAACAUUUGCCAAUGUCCAUCGUCAGGAUUGUCCCCCUUACAAUAUCGGGGAUAAAGUCUGGCUCCUCAGGCGAAAUAUCUCCACCACCAGGCCCUGUCCAAAACUCGAUUUCAAACACCUUGGUCCUUUCCCUAUCACUGCCAUCAUUAAUCCUGUCACUUAUCGCCUUGCACUUCCCUCCUCAUAUCAAAUUCACCCUGUUUUUCACUCCUCUCUCCUUGAGCCUUAUAUUCCCAGUCCUAUUCCAAAUCGGGUCAUUCCUCCGCCUCCACCAGUGCAGCUCGAGGAUGGGUCUGAGUACAAGGUUCAGGACAUCCUUGAUUCCAAGAUUUCACGGUCUAAACUCUACUAUUUGGUGGACUGGAAGGGUUACGGACCUGAGAAACGCACUUGGGAACCUGCAGACAACCUACUUCAUUCUCCUGACCUUGUUCAAGACUUCCACCGUCGCUAUCCUUCUCUUCCCAGUCCUCAUUCUUUUUCUCCAUCUCCCAUCCCUCACCACUCAUCUCAUCCUCCUCUUCGUUCUCGUUCACAUCCUCGUUCCACUUAUUCUUGAGGAGGGGGUGCUGUUAGGAAUCCCCCAAUUCUUGCCACAUUCCUGACUCUCACCGGAUUCCUGACCUGCAGACCACAUUCCUGACUCUCAAGACACUUCCCUAUUCCUGACUCUCGAGACACUUUCCUAUUCCUGACUCUCGAGAAACUUCCCGAUUCCUGAGUCUCGAGCCACAUUCCUGAUGAUGAUGUGGCGCCUCCUCGACCUCAGCUAUAUUUAGGCCGUCCUCGAUCCAAGAGUGGUGGAGCUUCAUCAACCUAUAGUAUAUAUAGGUUAGCCUUGUUCCAUUUCUCCACAAUCUGAAUCAACGCCAGUCUAAGGCCUCUUCUUUGUUUCCACUAGCUUUUCUCUUUGUCUUUUUGCAUUUUCCAAUCUUGAUCUUGUCAGAGGUCUUGACAGAAGGGUCUAAAAUUCCUAUAUCUCACAUAGUUAAAAGCUAUUAUAUCAAACUUUCUUCUAUUGUUUUUUAGCAUUAAAUAUAUUUUUUAAAAAACUCAUAAAAGUUUCUUAAUUGCACUUAAAAUUUUCAAUAUAAAUUCUUCACAAUGUGAGUGCAUGGAAUAUGAAAAUAGAAUACAUAAAUGUGCAUAUUAAUUACCCCAAAAACCUAGCUUAUAUACAGGAACGAGUUGUCUAGAUUGAAACUAAUUUGAUAGCUAUCAAAAUCCCACUACCUUUAGUAAAUAGGCCAAGAUCUAGAGGAACAUCAAAAGGAGCUAUUAGUGAAUCUAUAGGCAGUGCUAGUUAUUCUUGAUCACUUUGUACAAAUUGUUUUAGUCAUUGUAUAUGCACAAUUUGCCUAUUGAAUGUUAUGCCAAACCUCAAAAACUUGCAAUCCAACUUGCUACAACACCUAAUAUAGUCCCUUCCACUGAGCAAGAAGCCCUUUAAACAAACCACGUACUGUAAGAUUAGGAAAAUGGACUAAUACUAAGUCAUCCACUUUAUACUCUACAAGUGAAUAAUGAUGGGAGUUAUAGCAUUGUUGUUGUAUUAUAGCAUUGCAUCACUUGAAUGCAAGCUAGGUGUUUGAUAGACUCUACUCGGACCAAGGACUCAUCAAAUAUUAAUCCCAAGAUCUAUCAUCAACAGAUCAUGGCAAUCACGAAAGUAAACUCAACUCCGUUGAUAAUAUUGGAUUAUGACUACGUCAUAUCUUCAAUUAAUAGAAAGACUUAUACAGUUUCUCAAUCACACGGUGAUAUCCCAUAUGCCACUUUGAAUAGAAGAAUUAUAAAGAUAUGCAUGAAGUUUCUCAAAACCUCAAAUUAUUACUAAACAUUCUUUCUCUAUUGUGGAGUAGUUCACCUCCGUUGGUUGUAAUGGAUAACUAAUGUAUGCAAUGGGAUGGUAUUGACCAGGCACACUCAGGCAUCAACACACUUCCAAUACCAAUUGCAUCAACACAUCUCCAAAACCAAUAUUAAAAGCAUCCAAGUGCAAAAUGAAAGGUUAAGUACAGUUAGAAUAUGUCAAAAUUAUAAGAGUUGUCAAUAACUCUUUGAGAUCCAUAAAUGCUUGUUCGUAGUUGAUAGACCAAAUGAAAGACAUUGUUGACAAUUUCAAUAAUGCUCGCAAUGGUGCAGUACGAUCAAAAAGAUUAUCAAUAAAUUAGCUAAGAUAUUACACCUUGCCUAAGAAGUGUUGCACAUCAUUUAUACACUUUAGAGUAGGGAACUUGAGAACAACCUUAAGUUUGUUAAGUUUAACUUUCAAACCUUCACGAGGAAUACUAUACAUAAAAUAAUUGAUGUUCUUGGACCUAAAGACACUUUGAUUACUUCAACUUUAAACCAACUUCUCACAACUAAUCCAACACAUUAUGAAUAUCAUGGAUGUGUUCCUUCCAAAUCAAUCAAGAUAUCAUCAAUGAAGUUAGUAGUCAUUUUUGGCAUAUUGUAAAGAACCUUGUCCAUCAUCCAUUAAAAAGUCACUAGAACAUUGUGCAAACCAAACACCAUCACCAAGAAUUUGUAUAAAUGCUUUAUUUCGUUAAAGUGGAAUUUAUUCAGUAAAGUGGGACAUUAAUUAGCAUGUAUCCACAUGCCAUUUCCUAGUACUUAAUUAAUAUUUAUUAAUAUUUCUAUCAGUUUUUUAAUUUAUUUUUUAUAUUUCACAAUAUUAUAACACAAAAUCAUAUGAAAAGUUUUUAAUUUAUAAAUUAUAAAGCUAAAACUUCAAUUUUUUAUUGUUGUUAUAAAAAUGGCAUGUGGGCACACUCCAUAAGUGGGAUAAUGAAAAGUUCCACUUUAACGAAAUAAAGCAUAUAAACCAAAUGAUGUAUGAAAAAUAAUUUUAGGAAUAUCUUCAUCGACCAUUGGUAUAUCCAGAGCAAGAUCUAACUUGGUGAAUCAACAACUUCUCCUUAAACGAUCGAGGAAAUCAGUAGUGUGAGGUAGAGGGUAUAUAUAUGGGAUUGUCAUUUUAUUUAAUAUACAAUAGUUAAUGCUAAAACAAAUAUUUUCAUCAAAAUUUGUUAUAAAAUGAGGUUCACAUGCCCAAGGACUACACAACUUUAAAGUAACACCCUUGUCUAACAUCUUCUUGACAUUUAUACGUAAAAUUGUGAUCUCUUUUAUGUAAGCAACCAAAGGGAACGACUUGAGAGACGAUCCAUGGGGUUCAAAUAUAGAGGGAAAAGGCCCAUGAAUAAGAGUGCACCCUUUUCCAAUCGGUUAAGGGUCUUGGGAUAGUUGGAGUUAAGCAUCCUUGGGUUUGAAUAGUACUGGGCUGGGUGACCUCCCGGGAAGUCCAAAUUCAGGAGUUUACAUUUGGUAUCAGAGCGGUCUCGGGUCCGACUCUAUUGGUUGGCUAAGGGAAUCACACCACAUGUUGAUUGACAUCUGGCUGGUCCAGUUUGCUCCCGCUGGGCUUGACCCGAGGGGUAGGGUGUCAAGAGAGCGAGGCUCUCGGGAGAGUUGCGGCUCUCAGCUUCUGUUCACGAGGGCAUGAACUUGCAGGGAAGCGUGGUGGAUUGUAAGCAACCAAAGGGAACAACUUGAGAGACGAUCCAUGGGGUUCAAAUAUAGAGGGAAAGGGCUCAUGAAUAAGAGUGCACCCCCUUUUCCAAUCGGUUAAGGGUCUUGGGAUAGUUGGAGUUAAGCGUCCUUGGGUUUGAAUAGUACUGGGCUGGGUGACCUCCCGGGAAGUCCAAAUUCAGAAGUUUACAUUUUAGUGACUGACAACAAAUAUGAACCUUAACUGGAUGAGCAUCCCUAGUUGGAAUGGGAUGAUGUGUUGCAAUCUUGGCCCCAGACAACAAGUCAAAUUCAAAAAGAUCGGCAUACUCCUUCAUAAGUUAAUUAAUUGCUAAGUAUAAAGGAACAAAAUGAAAAAAUAGAAGGAAGCAAUAAGGAGACAAAAGUGAUAGAAGUAGAGGUAAAAGGAAAGAGAUGAAGAAGAAUAAAAAUAAGAAGAAUAAAAGAAAUAUAAAAAAGUAUGAAAUAAAGGGAAAAAUCUUAAAGUCACAUUUGGCAUGAUUGUGCCACAAUCAAUCCAUACCAAGUAUAAAGUCAAAAGUUUGACUUGACACCACCCAUAACGAUUAUUUCAAGCUCAAGGUCGCCCACAUGCACAACUAAGGUCUGCCUCAUCCUGUGCACAUGUGUGUGUAUGACCGUUGCUAUAAAGAUUGAAAAUUAGCUUUACCGCAUGAGGCAAAUAUAGAUGGCAACAGGUGGUAAUAGGCCUAUGAGACACAAAAUCCCUAGGCCCCAAAGUGGAGCUGGAAAGGGUGCCACGUGGUAGUGGCCGAAGUGAAAGCCAAACGAGCGUAACACGUUUGGACUAAAAGCUCCGACUUGAAAAGUCGAGAGCGGGAGUGGAACUCCCAACAAAGUGCUCAAGGAGCGAGCACAAAGCGAGCAAUAAGCAAGGCUCCAAAAAGGGACCCGAAAAGGACCAACACAUGACACGUGGAAGUGUCCGAGAUGGAGUCCGAGACGGACCCUAGUUGGAGUCCGAGAUGGACCUGAAGUGGAGUCUGAUAUGGAGUCCGAAGUGGAGUCCGAAAUAGAGUCCGAUAUGGAGCCGGAGAUGGACCCGAAGUGGAGUCCGAGGUGGACAAAAACGGAGUCCGAGAUGGACCCGAGAUGGAGUCCGAGAUGGAGUCUGAGGUGGGCCGAGAAGGAGUCCGAGAUAGACCCGAGAUGGAGUCCGAGAUGGAGUCCGAGAUGGACCCGAGAUGGAGUCCGAGGUGGAGUCCGAGUGUAAGCGACUAAAUUUUCCAUUCUAAUUUAGUCACUUAACCACACCUCCGACCACUUGGAGGAGUCUCAUUCACAACCUCCAUCAGUCCAAUUCAGGACUUGGGACUUGCUAGCCCCAAGAAUGGCAUCCAUGCCACUCCACACUUGCACCUGGUCCAAGUGCUCCACGUGUCCGGUCCCGAGACCGACACCCAAAGGUACCACUGACAUCUCGGCCCGUUACGCUAAGGCCAUGCCCAUUCACCUUUGCUGCACCAGUGGUUCAACACCACUUGCAUCACCACCUCGUCUCUCCAAGACUGGGCCAUGUGUCCACGAGUGGUCAUCCUAGAUCCACUCCUUAGCAUCCUUAGGAUGCCCACAGACCUGGGGAAUUGCCUUCCCCAAAGUCCCUUUGUCAGUUCCUACCAAGUCCCUUUCUGCCCCUGGCCGUGUUUGCCAACACUGCCACUGGAUCGAGGCCCACAGGCCCGACCACUAAGUCCCACGGUCCUCUGGGACUUCCUCACCACAUGACUGUGUCCUUGGUCACUACCCCAGAGGACUGCUCCUCUUCCUUUCCACAGUCUGGGCCUUUGGGACAACAUUUCGGAACACCGUGGCCUUACACGAGCCACCUGGGUACUCUCCCCACCUAUCGCCUUUAGGUGCUCUAGCCAUGGGCUUAGAGCGAGGUUCCAUUGAGCCACACUUGGUAUCCAAGUAGGUAGUGCCACCCACACUUGGACUGGGAGCAUCGGCCAGUCGAUCUCCCGGGGGAACUAGAGCCGGCUCUUGAACACUUCACCAAGCUACCCCGCUUGUCGGUCCGUGUUCACUCUAGUCUUGGACUUCCCAGUGGGCAGCUCAUCACCCAACACUGGGUCCGGCCUUUCUGGGCCAAACUGGCCUUUCCUGGCCAAACUGGCUCCACUACAGUCCUCCCCCUACAUACUUUUGGAGCUCACCAAACCCCCCAGGGUCUGGGAGACGAACGCUUUGGGCUUUCACCCUCUCAGGCUCCGGACUCGGACUCGGACUCGGACUCGGACUCGGACUCGGACUCGGAGUCGGACUCGGACUCGGGCUCGGGCUCGGUCUCGGCCUCGGCCUCGGUCUCGGUCUCAGUCCCGAUCUCGGUCUCGGUCUCGGUCUCGGUCCCGGUCUCGGUCCCGGUCUCGGUCUCGACUUCGGACUCCAUCUCGGACUCCAUCUCGGACUCCAUCUCGGACUCCAUCUCGGGUCCAUCUCGGGUCCAGCUCGGACUCCAUCUCGGACUCCAUCUCGUGUCCAUCUCGGACUCCAUCUCGGACUCCAUUUCGGGUCCAUCUCGGGUCCACCUCGGACUCCAUCUCGGACUCCAUCUCGGGUCCAUCUCGGACUCCACUUUGGACUCCAACUCGGGUCCAUCUCGGGUCCACCUCAGACUCCACUUCGGACUCCAUCUCGGACUCCAUCUCGGGUCCAUCUCGGACUCCACUUCGGACUCCAACUCGGGUCCAUCUUGGGUCCACCUCGGACUCCACUUCGGACUCCAUCUCGGACUCCAUUUCGGACUCCAACUAGAGUCCAUCUCGGACACUCCCACGUGUCAUGUGUUGGUCCUUUUGGGUCCCUUUUUGGAGCCUCGCCUUUUUCUCGCUUCGUGCUCGUUCCUCGAGCACUUAGUUGGGAGUUCCACUCCCGCUCUUGACUUUUCAAGUCGGAGCUUUUGGUCCAAACGUGUUACGCUCGUUUGGCUCUCGCUUCGGCCACUACCAUGUGGCGCCCUUCCGGCUCCACUUUGGGGCCUAGGGAUUUUGUGUCUCACAACUCCACCACCCAUAGACGAAGUUCGAUGUCCUCAUCGAACGGUGAACCAUUUUAUAAAGUAACACCCGCAUGUGUUACCAUUUCCAUCCUUGGCGCGUAGCCAAUAUUUGUCAAUGGUGUGACAUUGAAGGCUCACCAUGCCUUCUCCAUAUUCGUCAAUGGUUGGACAUUGAAGGCUCACCAUGCCUUUUGCAUAUCCUCUAAGGAGGGUAGUCUCUCCAACUUAGAGACUGAUUGGACCACAUAUAGUGGUUCUCUCCUUUUAUUGGUUUAGUUCUCGCUAAACCUUUUAGAGACCCUUCUCUAAGUCAAUCCCACUACUCCUUCUCGAGUAGUCUCAAUUUCCAUCGACAUAACCUUUGCACUUUGGAACUUUGAAUUUUGACUUCUUGGAGUCAAUUUCCUGGGUGUCUCCAACACCUUGCAUUGCACAGAUUGUGCGACUCCACUUCCCUAUCCUAGGAAGUUCAUUACUUGAGGGCACCAUCAUCCUCUCUUCUAUUUCGUGCCACCUUGGGCACUAAGUUCCAUUUAUCACACUUUGUGCUAGGGUUGUCCAUCGCCCUAUCAUUUGGCUACCUUACCGCUCCCUCCCUUGGAGCUUCCACUUUCGCCAAAUCGGAGCAAUUCGGAAUCCCUCCUUGGAAACACACUUCCUUUCCCGCAACUUGUUAGCGUCCAACACAUUAGUGUUCCUCACCUAACUUUGUCACUUGGAUUCCUUUCAAGGGAUUCCACGGCCCUAUCUUGGCCACUCAUCUUUUGCUCCUAUCCGUUGAUUGUUGCACCAAGCAACAUCGAAUCUCUACCUCCCUCCUUGAGGUAUUGUUUCAGUUCCAUAGCAAAGACUCUUCUUUGCCAAGUCCGGAGGAUGUUCACCCCUAGUACGUCUCUUUAGCAUCUUCUGCUAUGGGCUCUAUCCACGGCCCAACUUCGUGACCCUCCCAUGGGUCUUUUAUAGAGACUACUUUCCUCGGACUCACUAUGCCAUCGCACGGACAUAGUUUAUUUCCCUUAGGUGCUCUUCCCACUUGGUUAUCACAACCAAGCCACACCACCUUAAACAGUUCAAUUUCAACAUUUGAACCAGGAACUUCAUUCCUUAGCCAACCAAGGACCUUGUCCUUUUCUGGCCAUAAGAUCACCUAGUGAUCUCACCUUGGCACAUUAACAGAGUUGCCAAGAGGUACUUGGUUUUCUAGACCUCCAAGUUGUUGACUAUAACCCCGGGGGCAUCCCCCACACUUGGCGGUGCACCCAAGCUAGCCCUUACGGCCAAGGGUUCAUAGCAACUGAGAUUAGGUGUCCCCAUCUCACUCACCAUGACCUUGGUGCCACUUGCACCAAAGUGUUCAAGUUAGAUAUGCUGAGCUUUCACACUAAGCAAUCUAACCGUGCAUCACGACUCCGAGGCAUCCCUCGCUUGGCGGUGUGCCCAAACCAGUCUCCCCACUGAGAGUCCAUGACCACCGAAAUAUGAGUGUCCUCAUAUUCCAAACCAUCACCACGCCCUAGUGAUUUGGGACUCGAACCCAAGCACUAGAGGGUCGGGACUCGAACCCAACCUCCAUAUAUGCAUCUACGGACGGCAUCACACUAGAUGCCUGGCGUGACUCCCCACGCCGGUGCACCAACCUAUUUUUAAAGUGCGCUACAGAUCACAGCUUAGGAACCUAGUUCCUCCACACUGCCAAGUCCUCUCACUUGACAUGUCUGUGAUCAUGCAUGGACUCCUCCAUGCUCGGCCCCAUGGCCCACCCCUUUUGAAGUUAUCACCUUCAACUAGGGUCUUUGUUCCCCCGACGUGCCAAUCUCACUUGGCAAGUCCUCCGACCAUUGUAACAUAGUUCCUGCAUAAGCGUGAAAGUCCUUGACCAUCGACUUUUGUUCAAAGCCCUCUCUUUGAACACUCGGGAACUACUUCCCUAACCUUGAUAACCUUGCCUCAUGGCAAGCUUCAAGACCACGCUUCUGUUGCGCCACUCUGAUUUCGCGCGUUCCAUAAACCAUUUACACUUGGCCUUUCUAGGUACUACGCUACCUAGAAUCGUCUUUGGGAACCUUGAAGGAACUCUGUCCCUCAGCUUGCUAAGGCCUCCCCUUUCGCAAGCUUUAUAGUUGCCAUAUAGUCUAACAUGGACAAUUCCAUAUUUUAGACUCUCCAUGGCAUCACGGUUGCUAGCAACAACAUCCUCGAGCACCCUCUUGCUUCUCCACUCCCAACUUUCAUAACCACUGUUGGAUAUGUCCUUUGAUUUCUAUGGUUCAAUUCCAUCCCAAUACUACUUGCCUUUGGCUUCACACCUUUCCUUCGGUCAUUCUCCUCCAGACCAGGAGGAUAGCUUUGCACUUUCUAUCAUGCCUUAGCAAGUAUUCUUAGGGAUGAACCUACCCAAUAGCCCAAGGAGUGGUUCCUCAAUCCGGGUAUGCUCAACUUAUAAUCCCACACACUGGGAUUACAUUGUUGCUUAUGGGCCUUUACAUGCCCAUCACUAGCCUUGCCAAAAUUCCAUUUUUGGCUUUGUCCAACUUGGGUAGACAGUCCUCUCCUGUCUCCGCAACCUUGGACAUUUGAAUAGCACUUUCUAUCCAUCAUUCGCUAGGGACUUAGUCCCUUGGGCUUUAUCCAUUGCCCUCGCGACAUCAAACACCACCUUCUGGUGUUCUAGAGUGUUCGGGUGUCCCAAUGAUGGCUUUCUUGACAAUGAGUAUUUCCUUUUAUGACAUUGACUUACUAUAUCGCAACAUAAGCAGCUUAUCCCCCGUAAGGGUAUAUCCGACUUCCCUAUAUUAGAAGUCUUGGGUAGCUACCUUCUACCCGUUUAACCAGUUAUUUUGCAUCUCUUGCUUAGUUGCCUCAUAGUUGUCAAGUCCUACAACUCAUUGCUUGGUGCUUGCACACCUCCAUCAUUAUCUGGGUCACCGCACUCCAAUUGUAUGCUCUGCCGCUUAGGAUAUGCCAUUCCCAUUUCCAUUGGGAUUCCUUUGGCAAGGGGUUCUCAUGAACCCACCAACAUAGCCUCAAGGUAUCACACCUUGGCACAUUUGGUGUCUCCACACCAUCGGCUCCACGAGCCUACCUCUUUGACAUUUCCCUUUCGUGUCUAAGUCUUUGCCAAGACCAACACCACUCUUUCUCAUGCCAACCAUCCGUUAGCACUGCCCCAUAGAGGUCACACACAACUUUAUGUCAAAGUUGUUUUCUUCUGGGAACACCUUUCCCAUAACUUUAGCAUGGCACAUUUUGCCAUCGAUGAGAUACCCUCUGUUCUCAUCCUUGGGUCCUACGAUCCCCCCCCAUCCUUUGUGGGGUACAACACAGCUCAGUCCAAAUGCUUCCAUCAGUCCUUUUAGGACCAUCCCUUGACUCUACUUGAGUCAUCCAGCAGUUUUGGACUUGGUUAAUCCACAGACCCGUAAGGUCCUACUUGUGAGGCACUAGCUCACUGGAAUACACUUCUUGCAUUCCUGUCCUACUCAAAAGGACUAUUUUCACAAGUGCUACUCCGACACUUGAUUUUGUUCUCUGGGGGCAACCUCUGCCCCUUAGGACUACUUGUCCAUGUGAUGAGAAUACCAACUCAUCCACUUAAUACACCCCCAACUCCUUGGGUUGUUCCAGCAUUUAUUAGAGGUAGCCCCGGCUACCUUUUCAAGGGCUUGAGUCCUCUUCCGUAUUUGACCUCCCACGGUCAUUACUUCUGGUCUCACAUUCAUGAGCACCAACCUCAACUAUAUGAGGAAAAUCUUGUGACUCCUUUAUUGCUUUGGAGUCUUUAUCUUUCCCGUGAUCCCAACUGUAGUUGUUUACCACAACUACAUUAGCCAGUUUGCUAAGUCAAACGCUCACCUGGAUCACAUCCUCAACUUUUUUUUUGAGGAAAACCAUAUACUGUUCCCAAGAUCCCAAAGUCGUUCCAUUAUUGGCCCUUUUCUAUCCACCACCCCGUCUACAAGUUCACACAUGAACUGUAAUGGAGAGCCAUGUCUUCCCGACUUGCUACUCCUCAAGGAUAGGCCCACUCCUCGGACCUUCCGAUGCCAACACUAGUGGUGAUAUACUUGAGCACCAAUAAAAGUCAGACUAAGGAACAGCUCCGAUACUAAGUUGUAAGCGACUAAAUUUUCCAUUCUACUUUAGUCACUUAACCACACUUCCGACCACUUGGAGGAGUCUCAUUCACAACCUCCAUCAGUCCAAUUCAGGACUUGGGACUUGCUAGCCCCAAGAAUGGCAUCCAUGCCACUCCACACUUGCACCUGGUCCAAGUGCUCCACGUGUCCGGUCCCGAGACCGACACCCAAAGGUACCACUGACAUCUCGGCCCGUUACGCUAAGGCCAUGCCCAUUCACCUUUGCUGCACCAGUGGUUCAACACCACUUGCAUCACCACCUCGUCUCUCCAAGACUAGGCCAUGUGUCCACGAGUGGUCAUCCUAGAUCCACUCCUUAGCAUCCUUAGGAUGCCCACAGACCUGGGGAAUUGCCUUCCCCAAAGUCCAUUUGUCAGUUCCUACCAAGUCCCUUUCUGCCCCUGGCCGUGUUUGCCAACACUGCCACUGGAUCGAGGCCCACAGGCCCGACCACUAAGUCCCACAGUCCUCUGGGACUUCCUCACCACAUGACUGUGUCCUUGGUCACUACCCCAGAGGACUGCUCCUCUUCCUUUCCACAGUCUGGGCCUUUGGGACAACAUUUCGGAAUACCGUGGCCUUACACGAGCCACCUGGGUACUCUCCCCACCUAUCGCCUUUAGGUGCUCUAGCCAUGGGCUUAGAGCGAGGUUCCAUUGAGCCACACUUGGUAUCCAAGUAGGUAGUGCCACCCACACUUGGACUGGGAGCAUCGGCCAGUCGAUCUCCCGGGGGAACUAGAGCCGGCUCUUGAACACUUCACCAAGCUACCCCGCUUGUCGGUCCGUGUUCACUCUAGUCUUGGACUUCCCAGUGGGCAGCUCAUCACCCAACACUGGGUCCGGCCUUUCUGGGCCAAACUAGCCUUUCCUGGCCAAACUGGCUCCACUGCAGUCCUCCCCCUACUAUACUUUUGGAGCUCACCAAACCCCCCAGGGUCUGGGAGACGAACGUUUUGGGCUUUCACCCUCUCAGGCUCCGGACUCGGACUCGGACUCGGAAUCGGACUCGGACUCGGACUCGGACUCGGGCUCGGGCUCGGUCUCGGCCUCGGCCUCGGUCUCGGUCUCAGUCCCGAUCUCGGUCUCGGUCUCGGUCUCGGUCUCGGUCCCGGUCUCGGUCCCGGUCUCGGUCUCGACUUCGGACUCCAUCUCGGACUCCAUCUCGGACUCCAUCUCGGGUCCAUCUCGGGUCCAGCUCAGACUCCAUCUCGGACUCCAUCUCGUGUCCAUCUCGGACUCCAUCUCGGACUCCAUUUCGGGUCCAUCUCGGGUCCACCUCGGACUCCAUCUCGGACUCCAUCUCGGGUCCAUCUCGGACUCCACUUCGGACUCCAACUCGGGUCCAUCUCGGGUCCACCUCAGACUCCACUUCGGACUCCAUCUCGGACUCCAUCUCGGGUCCAUCUCGGACUCCACUUCGGACUCCAACUCGGGUCCAUCUCGGGUCCACCUCGGACUCCACUUCGGACUCCAUCUCGGACUCCAUUUCGGACUCCAACUAGAGUCCAUCUCGGACACUCCCACGUGUCAUGUGUUGGUCCUUUUGGGUCCCUUUUUGGAGCCUUGCCUUUUUCUCGCUUCGUGCUCGUUCCUCGAGCACUUAGUUGGGAGUUCCACUCCCGCUCUUGACUUUUCAAGUCGGAGCUUUUGGUCCAAACGUGUUACGCUCGUUUGGCUCUCGCUUCGGCCACUACCAUGUGGCGCCCUUCCGGCUCCACUUUGGGGCCUAGGGAUUUUGUGUCUCACACCGAGGUGGACCGAGACGGAGUCCGAGAUGGACCAGAGAUGGGGUCCGAGAUGGACCGAGACGGAGUCCGAGAUGGAGUCCGAGAUGGAGUCCGAGAUGGACCAAGAUGGAGUCCGAGAUGGAAUCCGAGAUGGAGUCCGAGAUGGAGUCCGAGAUGGAGUCCGAGAAGGACCCGAGAUGGAGUCCGAGGUUGAGACCGAGACCGGGACCGAGACCGGGACCGAGACCGAGACCGAGGCCAAGGCUGAGACCGAGCCCGAGCCCGAGUCCGAGUCCGAGUCCGAGUCCGAGUCCGAGUCCGAGUCCCAGUCCCAGUCCGAGUCCCAGUCCGAGUCCGAGUCUGAGUUCGAGUCUGAGAGGGUGAAAGCCCAAAGCGUUUGUCUCCCAGACCCUGGGGGGUUUGGUGAGCUCCAAAAGUAUAGUAGGGGGAGGACUGCAGUGGAGCCAGUUUGGCCAGGAAAGGCCAGUUUGGCCCAGGAAGGCCGGACCCAGUGUUGGGUGUUGAGCUGACCACUGGGAAGUCCAAGACUAGAGUGAACAUGGACCGACAAGCGGGGUAGCUUGGUGAAGUGUUCAAGAGCCGGCUCUAGUUCCCCCGGGAGAUCGACUGGCCGAUGCUCCCAGUCCAAGUGUGGGUGGCACUACCUACUUGGAUACCAAGCGUGGCUCAAUGGAACCUCGCUCUAAGACCAUGGCUAGAGCACCUAAAGGCGAUAGGUGGGGAGAGUACCCAGGUGGCUCGCGUAAGGCCACGGUGUUCCGAAAUGUUGUCCCAAAGGCCCAGACUGUGGAAAGGAAGAGGAGCAGUCCUCUGGGGUAGUGACCAAGGACACAGUCAUGUGGUGAAGAAGUCCCAGAGGACCGUGGGACUUAGUGGUCGGGCCUAUGGGCCUCGAUCCAGUGGCAGUGUUGGCAAACACGGCCAGGGGCAGAAAGGGACUUGAUAGGAACUGACAAAGGGACUUUGGGGAAGGCGAUUCCCCAGGUCUGUGGGCAUCCUAAGGAUGCUAAGGAGUGGAUCUAAGAUGACCACUCGUGGACACAUGGCCUAGUCUUGGAGAGACGAGGUGGUGAUGCAAGUGGUGUUGGACCACUAGUGCAGCAAAGGUGAAUGGGCAUGGCCUUAGCGUAACGGGCCGAGAUGUCAGUGGUACCUUUGGGUGUCGGUCUUGGGACCGGACACGUGGAGCACUUGGACCAGGUGCAAGUGUUGAGUGGCAUGGAUGCCAUUCUUGGGGCUAGCAAGUCCCAAGUCCUGAAUUGGAUUGAUGGAGGUUGUGAAUGAGACUCCUCCAAGUGGUCGGAGGUGUGGUUAAGUGACUAAAGUAGAAUGGAAAAUUUAGUCGCUUACAACUUGGUAUCGGAGCUGUUCCUUAGUCCGACUUUUAUUGGUGCUCAAGUAUAUCACCAUUGAUAUUGGCAUCGGAAGGUCCUAGGAGUGGGCCUAUCCUUGAGGAGUAGCACGUCGAGAGGACAUGGCUCUCCACUCAAGUUCAUGCAUGAACAUGGGCACGAUGUGGUGGAUAGAAAAGGGCCAAUAAUAGAACGACUUUGGGAUUUUGGGAACAGUAUAAGGUUUCCUCAGAGAGCUGAGGAUGUGAUCCAGAUGAGCGUUUGAUGCAGCAAACGGGCUAACUUAGUUGUGGUAAACAACUAUGAUUGGGAUCACGGGAAAGAUGUAGACUCCAAAAUAAUAAAGGAGUCACAAGAUUACCCUCAUAUAGUUGAGGCCGGUGCUCAUAACUUGGAGACCGGAAUUGAUGACCAUGGGAGGUCAAGUAUAGGAGAGGACACAAGUCCUCGAAAUGGUAGCUGAGGUUACCCUUGAUAAAUGCUGGAACAACCCAAGGAGUUGGGGAUGUACUUAGAGGAUGAGUUGGUAUUCUCAUCACAUGGACAAGUGGUCCUAAGAGGCAAAAGGUUGCCCCAAGAGAACAAAUCAAGUGUCGAAGUAACACUUGCAAAGAUGGUCCUUGUGAGUAGGACCUGAAUACAAGAAGUUGUAUUCCAGUGAGCUAGCACCUCAAAAGUAGGACCUCAUGGGUCGUCGGAUGACAAAGUCCAAAAAGCUGGAUGACUCCAAUAGAGUCAAGGAAUAAUCCUAAAGGACUGAUGGAAGCAUUUGGACUGAGGUGUGUGGUACCCCAUGAAAGAUGGGGGGGAUCAUGGGAUCCAAGGAUGAGAACAGAGGGUAUCUCAUCGAUGGCAAAAUGUGCCAUGCUAAAGUCGUGGGAAGGGUGUUCCCAAAAAAGAAAACAACUUUGAAACAAAGUUGUGUAUGACCUCUAUGGUGCAGUGCUAACGAAUGGUUGGCAUGAGAAAGAAUGGUAUUGGUCUUGGCAAAGACUUAGGCACAAAGAAGAAGUGUCAUAGAGGUAGGCUCGUGGAGCCAAUGGUGUGGAGACACCAAAUGUGCCAAGGUGUAAUACCUUGAGGCUAUGUUGGUGGGUUCAUGAGAACCCCUUGCCAAAGGAAUCCCAAUGGAAAUGGGAAUGGCAUAGCCUAAGCUGCAGAGCAUGUAGUUGGAGUGUCGUGACCCAGAUAAUGAUGGAGGUGUAGAAGCACCAGCAAUGAGUUGUAGGACUUGACAACUAUGAGGCAACUAAGCAAGAGGUGCAAAAUAAUUGGUUAAAUGGGUAGAAGGUAGCUACCCAAGCCUUCUUAAUGGCAUAAGGAAAUUGGAUAUACCCUUAUGGGGGAUAAGUUGCUUAUGUUGCGAUAUAGUAAGUCAAUAUCAUGAAAGGAAAUACUCAUUGUCAAGGAAGCCGUCAUUGGGACACCUAAACACUCUAGAACACCAGGAGGUGGUGUUUGAUGUCGUAAGGGCAAUAGAUAAGGCCCAAGGGACUAAGUCCCUAGCGAAUGAUGGAUAGAAUGUGCUAUCAAAAUGUCCAAGGUGGCGGAGACAGGAGAAGACUGUCUACUCGAAUUGGACAAAGCCAGAAAUGGAAUUUUGGCAAGGCUAGCGAUGGGCAUGUAAAGGUCCAUAAGCAACAACGUAAUCUCGGUGUGUGGGAUUAUAGGGUGAGCAUACCUGGAUUGAGAAACCACUCCCUAGGCUAUCGGGUAGGUUCAUCCCUAAGAAUACUUGCUAAGGCAUGAUAGAAAGUGCAAAGCUAUCUUCCUGGUCUGGAGGAGAAUGACCGAAGGAAAGGUGUGAAGCCAAAAGCAAGAAAUAUGGGGGUAGAACCAAACCAUAGGAAUCGAAGGGUAUAACCAAGGUUGGUUAUGCCAGCUGGGAGUGGAGAAUCAAGUGGGGGCUCAAGGGUGUUGCCGCUAGCAACCGUGAUGCCAUGGAGAGUCUAAAAUAUGGAAUUGUUCAUGUUAGACUAUAUGGUAAUUGGAAAGCUUGCAAAAAGGGAGGCCUUAGCAAGCUAAGGGACAGAGUUCCUUCAAGGUUCCCAAAGAUGAUUCUAGGUAGCUUAGUACUUAGAAAGGCCAAGUGUAAAUGGUUCAAAGCAUGCGCGAAAUCAGAGUGGCGCAGCAGAAGCGUGGUCUUGAAGCUUGCCAUGAGGCAAGGCUAUCAAGGUUAGGGAAGUAGUUCCCGAGUGUUCAAAGAGAGGGCUUUGAACGAAAGUCGAUUAUCAAGGGCUUUCACGCUUGUGCAGGAACCAUGUUAUAGUGGUCAGAGGACUUGCCAAAGCGAGAUUGGCAAGUCAGGGGAACAAAUACCCUAGUUGAAGGUGAUAACUUCAAAAAGGGUGGGCCAUGGGGCCAAGCAUGGAGGAGUCCAUGCAUGAUCACAGACUUGUCAAGUGAAAGGACUUGGCAAUGUGGAGGAACUAGGUUCCUAAGCUGUGAUCUAUAGCGCGCUUUGAGUAUAAAGUGGUGCACCGGCGUGGGGAGUCACGCCAGGCAUCCUAGGUGAUGCCAUCCAUAGAUGCAUAUACGGAGGUUGGGUUCGAGUCCUGACCCUCUAGUGCUUGGGUUCGAGUCCCAACUCACUAGGGCGUGGUGAUGGUUUGGAAUAUGAGGACACUCAUUUUUUGGUGGUCAUGGACUCUCAGUGUGGAGACUGGUUUGGGCACACCGCCAAGCGAGGGAUGCCUCGGAGUCGUGAUGCACGGUUAGAUUGCUUAGAGUGAAAACUCGGCAUAUCUAACUUGAACACUUUGGUGCAAAGGGCACCAAGGACGUGGUGAAUGAGAUGGGGACACCCAGUCUCAGUUGCUAUGGAUCCUUGGCCGGAAGGGCUGGCUUGGGCGCACCACCAAGUGUGGGGGAUGCCCCCGGGGUCAUAGUCAACAACUCAGAAGGGUCUGGAAGACCUAGUCCCUAUUGAUAGACCUAUUAAAGGGUCAAAAUAAGAUCACUAGGUGAUCUUGUGGCUAAACAAGGACAAAGUCUUUGUUUGGGUUAAGGAAUAUGAUUCCUAGUUCAAAGUGUUGAUUUGAACUAUUGAUAAAGGUGUGGCUUGGUUGAGGUGACCAAGUGGGAAGAACACCUAAGGGAAAUGAGCUAUGUCAAUGCUAUGGCAUAGUAAGUCCAAGGAAAGUAAUCUCUAUAAAAGAUCCAAGGGAGGGUCUCAAAAAGUUGGGCCGUGGAUAGAGCCCACGACAGAAAACGUUAAAGAGACGUACUAGGGGUGAACACCUUCUAGACUUGGCAAAGCAAAGUGUUUGCUAUGGAACCGAAAGGAAACCUCAAAAAUGGAGGUAGCAAUCCUAUGUUGCUUGGUGCAACAAUCCAAGGAUAGGAGCAAAAGACGAGUGCCCAAGAUAGGGCCGUGGAAUCCAUUGGAAAGAAUCCAAGUGGCAAAGUUAGCCAAGGAACACUAAUGUGGUUGAUGCUAACAGAUUGCGGAAAAAGAAGUGGACUUCCAAGGAUGGAUUCCCAAGUGCUCCAAUUUGGCAAAGGAAAGGCUCCAAGGGAGGGAGCAACUAAGUAGCCAAAAGAUAGGGCCGUGGACAGCCCUAGCACAAAUAAUGAUAAAUGGAAUGUAAUGCCAAUGGUGGCACAAAAAUAGAAAAGAGGGUGAGGGUGCCCUUGAGUAGAGAACUUCCUAGGAGGGGAAGUGGAGUUGCACAAAAUGUGCAAGGCAAGGUGUCAGAGACACCUAGGAAAUUGACUCCAAAAAGUCAAGAGUAAACAUUCCAAAGUGCAAAGGUAGAUCAAUGGAAUCUGUGACUACUCAAGAAUGAGUAGUGGAAUUGAGUUAGAGAGGGUGUCUCUAAUGGGUUUGGCGAGAACUGAACCAAUAAAAAGGAGCAAACCACCCUAGGUGGUCAAGUGAGUCUCUAAGUUGGAGAGACUAUCCUCCUUAGAGGAUGGGCAAGGCAUGGUGAGCCUUUGGUGUCAAACCAUUGACGAAUAUGGAGAAGGCAUGGUGAGCCUUCAAUGUCAAACCAUUGACAAAUAUUGGCUAGGUGCCAAGGAUGGGAAUGGUAACACAUGCGGGUGUUACUUUAUAAAAUGGUUUACCGUUCGAUGAGGACAUCGAACUUCGUCUAUGGGUGGUGGAGUUGUGAGACACAAAAUCCCUAGGCCCCAAAGUGGAGCUGGAAAGGGUGCCACAUGGUAGUGGCCGAAGUGAAAGCCAAACGAGCGUAACACGUUUGGACUAAAAGCUCCGACUUGAAAGGUCGAGAGUGGGAGUGGAACUCCCAACAAAGUGCUCAAGGAGCGAGCACAAAGCGAGCAAUAAGCAAGGCUCCAAAAAGGGACCCAAAAAGGACCAACACAUGACACAUGGAAGUGUCCGAGAUGGAGUCCGAGACGGACCCUAGUUGGAGUCUGAGAUGGACCCGAAGUGGAGUCCGAUAUGGAGUCCGAAGUGGAGUCCGAGAUGGAGUCCGAUAUGGAGCCCGAGAUGGACCCGAAGUGGAGUCCGAGGUGGACAAAGACGGAGUCCGAGAUGGACCUGAGAUGGAGUCCGAGAUGGAGUCCGAGGUGGACCGAGAAGGAGUCCGAGAUGGACCCGAGAUGGAGUCCGAGAUGGACCCGAGAUGGAGUCCGAGAUGGACCCGAGAUGGAGUCCGAGGUGGAGUCCGAGGUGGACCGAGACGGAGUCCAAGAUGGACCAGAGAUGGGGUCCGAGAUGGACCGAGACGGAGUCCGAGAUGGAGUCCGAGAUGGAGUCCGAGAUGGACCAAGAUGGAGUCCGAGAUGGACCGAGAUGGAGUCCGAGAUGGAGUCCGAGAUGGAGUCCGAGAAGGACCCGAGAUGGAGUCCGAGGUCGAGACCGAGACCGGGACCGAGACCGGGAUCGAGACCAAGACCAAGGCCAAGGCUGAGACCGAGCCCGAGCCCGAGUCCGAGUCCAAGUCCGAGUCCGAGUCCAAGUCCGAGUCCGAGUCCGAGUCCGAGUUCAAGUCUGAGAGGGUGAAAGCCCAAAGCGUUCGUCUCCCAGACCCUGGGGGGUUUGGUGAGCUCCAAAAGUAUAGUAGGGGGAGGACUGCAGUGGAGCCAGUUUGGCCAGGAAAGGCUAGUUUGGCCCAGGAAGGCCAGACCCAAUGUUGGGUGUUGAGCUGACCACUGGGAAGUCCAAGACUAGAGUGAACAUGGACCGACAAGCGGGGUAGCUUGGUGAAGUGUUCAAGAGCCGGCUCUAGUUCCCCCGGGAGAUCAACUGGCCGAUGCUCCCAGUCCAAGUGUGGGUGGCACUACCUACUUGGAUACCAAGCGUGGCUCAAUGGAACCUCGCUCUAAGCCCAUGGCUAGAGCACCUAAAGGCGAUAGGUGGGGAGAGUACCCAGGUGGCUCGCGUAAGGCCACGGUGUUCCGAAAUGUUGUCCCAAAGGCCCAGACUGUGGAAAGGAAGAGGAGCAGUCCUCUGGGGUAGUGACCAAGGACACAGUCAUGUGGUGAGGAAGUCCCAGAGGACCAUGAGACUUAGUGGUCGGGCCUGUGAGCCUCGAUCCAGUGGCAGUGUUGGCAAACACGGCCAGGGGCAGAAAGGGACUUGAUAGGAACUGACAAAGGGACUUGAUAGGAACUGACAAAGGGACUUUGGGGAAGGCGAUUCCCCAAGUCUGUGGGCAUCCUAAGGAUGCUAAGGAGUGGAUCUAUGAUGACCACUCGUGGACACAUGGCCCAGUCUUGGAGAGACGAGGUGGUGAUGCAAGUGGUGUUGGACCACUAGUGUAGCAAAGGUGAAUGGGCAUGGCCUUAGCGUAACGGGCCGAGAUGUCAGUGGUACCUUUGGGUGUCGGUCUUGGGACCGGACACGUGGAGCACUUAGACCAGGUGCAAGUGUUGAGUGGCAUGGAUGCCAUUCUUGGGGCUAGCAAGUCCCAAGUCCUGAAUUGGAUUGAUGGAGGUUGUGAAUGAGACUCCUCCAAGUGGUCGGAGGUGUGGUUAAGUGACUAAAGUAGAAUGGAAAAUUUAGUCGCUUACAAGGCCGAGCAAUAGAAAAUAAACUCAAAUUUAUAUCAACUAACAUGGAAAAAAUAAUAUGAGACAUCUUGUUAUAAAAACAAGCUUAAACACUAAAAGAACUAAUGCCGCCUUGAUAAUACUUAUGAAAGAAAGAUUGGAAAGGUCACUUACUUAUUUGUGUAAGGAUGCUCUGCCACUCAUGUGAAUCCUCAUCUCUUGGAAAUAUUUCAAUGUCUAAACCUUCCACUACAACAGCACAAAUAGGCUGUUAUUGACGUUAAGGUCUCCACCCAGAAAAUAAAAAUUGCCAAUCUAGAAAAUAUCGACAACUCCAAUAAGUGUGAUCAAUUUCAUCACACUUCCAGUGGCGGACAUCACAGCAAUAACUAUGUUGUCGCCCUUGUCCUUGAACUCGGGCACUAGCAAUAUCAAUUUUUAUUAGAAUAAGACCAUCUCCCACAAAAAGUGGAGCUGAAGGAUGUGCAAUGAAAAGUGGAAGAGAUGACAUCUCAUGACGUUAUACUAAGCAAAGAGCAUCGUCAAGAGUUGGUAAAGCAAGUGCAUGCAUAAAUCUUACAAGAUAUUGACAAAGUGUUAGCCACAACAUUCUUAAUUUGAUUUGCUCUAACAUAUUUGGCUCUGCAUGAAGCAAGAGGCUUUAGAAACGAAUGCUAAAUUGCACCAUUGACUUAAAUGGCCUUGAUAAAGAUAAUGCAAUUCUUGGAAGGUAUUAUCACAAUUGUUUAUAUAUCUAAAUGCACAUUUGAAGACGUUUAGGAGAAUGCUUCAAUUUGCAUAGAUAGUUGCGCUGAAACCAUUAUACCACUGUAGCACCGUCUUUUGGGAAACUCAUGCAAAUGUCAAGCAUCAUCCUAGAAAUGAUAUGUGGUAAUUAUUAUAAAGUGAUCAAACUAAUAGUACAUAUCAUCUUCAUGAUUCUUAUGGAAAAACUUUGGUCAGAUGCAAAGAUUGGCACUAAGAGUAGGAGGAGAUAUACCACGUGCUAUGAAUGCUACCAUCAAUUAAAUUUGAUUGUUCAAUUCCAAAUAUAUAGCAUGGAACAAUUGCACCAACUACUACUCAAAAGUCAAAAAAGAGGAGGCUACUACUUUGCCAUGAGAAUGAAUGAAAAGGAAAGAGCAAAAAAUAAGAAAUUGAAAAAGUUAUAAAAUAAGGGAAAUUUAGAUGAUGCAAAAGUUAGAUCUAAACUAAAAUCCCAAAGCUGAAUUAUUUUUUGUGAUAUGUUUUAUUUGAUGUAUCUCAGUGAUUGCUUCUUCAUCAAUAUUUAGUAUAAUAUCAUAUUUAAAUUUUUAUUUAUACUUUAAUUUUCUUUUGAAAAAAUUGAAUUCAAUAUCAAUUAAUUUAUGAAUUUAAGAUAUAAUUCUUUAAAAAUCAGAAAAUAAAACACAAUAAGAAAAAUAUAUAUAGUUAAUUAAGUCUUACCUUUGACUUCUAUAAUAGCAAAUUUUAUACCAUUUGUUUUUUGUAUUAUAAGUUAUUUCUUCCAAAAUAGGUAGUUAAACUAGAAUUUAAUACAUGUAUAUUUAAGUUUUAUAUGAAUGAAAUUUAUGCAUAGAUUAGAUAUAAGGCAAAUGGGAAAACAACAAUAUCAAUAGUGAUAACUAUGGGAUUGAAAAAUUAUUUAUUCUUACCACAAAGUGAUAGAGAAUAAAAUUAAUAAAAUGUGAUAUGGUAAAAGCUUCAUGUUUUUUAUCUAUUUUUUAAAAAAAUUAAAAAACUUAAGUUUUAAUAGAAAAUGAUAAAGUUAUAUGAAUAUAAAAUAAUAAUUAUCAAUAACUUUAAAGGUAUCAGGGUAAUUAAAAAUAUUUUAUCAUUUUCUCUAAUAAAUUCCUAGGCAGAUGAGAUGUUGAUGGAUAUUGAAAACAAAUAGAGAAUAAAUUAUAUAACAUAUGUACUAUGCUAUAAGAAAGGAUAAUCAUUUUGUUCCUUAACUACUCAAAACUAUAUGUAAAAGAGUAUAACAAAUCAUUAGUUAAACAUAAAAAUACAACUAAAGGAUAUUUCUCCUCAAUGUGUUUUCAUUCAGAAGGGAUUAUCUUUAGAGAAUUAUAAAUCUCUAUUUUUAAAUUUAACAUGUUUAUAAAGAAAUGCAGUCAUAACAGAAUAUAAGGUUUAUGAGAAUAAGUAUAAAUGGUGUGAAAUGCUUAAAAAAUGUGCUAUAAAAAGAUUGUCAAGGUUUAGGGUGUAUGAUAUCACUCACAAAUACAUAAUUACUCUAUACAAACAAAAUAAAAUAUAAGCUUGAAACUCAAGUGGUUAAUUGAUUGUAGCACACUCUACAUUAGCUAUUUGUACUGCAAGUAGAUGGUGGAUAUUUUUGUUUGUAAAUGCUCUACAAAAUAAAGGGUAUACAUAUAGUAUACUUUGUUCAUAUGUAUAUUAUGUUUUAAGUAGUCAUUAAUAAAUGAAAAUUAAACCUUGCUAUUUACUCAGAUACUAUAUAUAACACACUGUAUCUUUCUCCCUUUAAACCAAUUGAAAAGAGGCAAUUGCUUAAUAAAAAAGCCAAUUGUGCUAUUGAAUGACACCAAGGCUUGGGCUGCUUUUACAUUAGCAUGGGUGAUAAAACUUGCAGCAAGAGCAACAAUACAGACUAUAUUGCAAGUUGGUUUAGGAGGAGCUUAGAGCUCACAAGAAGUUAUAAUCUUUUUAACAAGGCAAAUGAGAUCCUUAGGGUUAUAGUUAUCUCAACUCAAAAUCCAACUAGCACAUUUGUAUGGAUAGUGACAUGAUUGACAAUUUAAAUUGCCUUCCUUCGGAUACUCAGCCAUUGGAUGCUCCUCAAGGAACAUCUUCUGAGUCACCUCAAUAAUAAUAGAAAAUCCCUGCAAUUACAUCAACCAUUUUGAGUAAAAUGGAAGUUGAUAUUCUUUCUAAGUUGCCAAAGAAUGAGUGGAUGAUACCAUUUGUGAGUUGCUCGAUACAAAGGAUAAGACAGGCUAGAUAAGAUCCUUCCUCUCAAUGUUUGUUAGAUUUUUUUUAUAAGAGUUUAAAUCUACUCAAAGCAAAAACAACAUGCUUUAACUGAAAGUUUAAUCCUUGCUAAUGUGUCAAAAAAUCUGAUGUAAAAUCAAAAUUUAUAUAGUGCAAAAAAUCACAUAUAUAGUGCUAACUUUUAUUUUGCCAUGCAUAUGUGGCGGGCACUAAUGGAUGCCCAUGCAUAAAAAAAGGUUAUAUUCAAAAUAUUAUUUUAUGAGUAACAACAAUUUAAGCACACAAAUGUUUCUUUUUAUAUAUUUUACAAGUUUGCACAAUUUUUUACCAGAACUCCCACCUAUCCCUUUUGGGAGUUGUACCUCCUCAUAACAAAAAUAUAGACUUUUUAUAAAUAGAAAAGGGCCAAAAUAUCAAUAAAAUGUAAAAUAAACCAUUUAAUUGCUUUUUCAUCUAGCUUAUGCAUCUAUUUACUCAAGAGAAUUAAGAUUGCCAACUUCUUACUAUUGUGACCAAAUAGAAAGUUAUAGACAAAGCUAUUGUUAUUUUAGAGGGUGAGAAUGACAUUGAUAAAAAAAAUUUAUAAAUUCUAACUCAAAUAAAUUAGCUUUAAUCUAUUCCUUCAUAAAUUGUUUUUGUCACACCUUAGUGAGUUUAAAUAGUUAAAAUUCAAACUUAAAAUAAUUAUUUAAACCAUUAUAUCCAUAUAGAGAUUAUACACACACACACACACACACAUAUAUAUAUAUAUAUAUAUAUAUAUAUAUAUAUAUAUAUAUAUAUAUAUAUAUAUAUAUAUAGACAAGGAGGAAUUUAUUUUAUUUAUCAGAAAAUCUAAAUAUUUAUAUAUAUAUAAUGAGUAAUGUUCAAAACCUCCUCAAGAACCCUAAAUUUUCACUGUGUCAGGGUUUUAGGGUUCUUUGGAUCGGGAAGCUAAUUCCAUUAUACUAAAACUCAGAAAUCAAAGUAUAAAUUAAACAAGUACUUCUAACCAUUAUUUUGAUAAAUCAUUCUAAAUAGUUAGUUCUUUAUUCUUUGCAGGCCAAUUUUUUCUUAGUUCUUUGCAAGCCAAUCUGGCAUUCCUGAGAAUUCAUAUGUGGCUACUUCUCAGAGUGACUGGCUGAUUGAUGGGUGGUGGAAACUCCAACUUUCGAUACGGAACAUCCACUUUAAUCACUUUCUGCUGCUCUCCUCCCUGCUGCAAGCUCCACUUCGACUUCGACUUCGAGGACGAGGAGAAUCGCUCGUCAAAACUAAUCACUGCGGUGUCCUUGGGACACGAAAGUAUCGCGCGCUUGAUCACCAUCUUCCUGCUGCUCCUGGAAGUAUGGAAGCGGUCGCGCUGGAUCUGGCACAGCGUGAGCACGAUAUCACCCAUGCACGGCCGCUUGCUUUCCCGCCUCACGCACCGCGCCGCCAGCACCGCCAUCCGCUUGAUCCCUGCUGCCUCUCCCUCCGGGAUCCUCACGCGCGGGUCGCAGAUAGCCAGAGCCCUCCCCUGCUUGAUCAGCGGCAACGCCCAGUCCACCAUGCGAACUGGAGACAUCCUGUCGUCGAUAACUUGGCGGCCGGAGAUGAGCUCCAGGAGGAGCACGCCAAAACUGAAGACGUCGAUCUUGGGCCCGACCUUCUCGGGCUUGUCGUAGCGCGGGUCCACGUAGCCGAGCGUUCCCGCCGGAGUACACAUGAUGUCCUUGGUGUCGCCUCGCAGCGCCAGGCCAAAGUCCCCCAGCCGAGCGUUCCAAUUCGCGUCGAUCAAAACGUUGGAGCUCUUCACGUCCCUGUGGAUGAUCUGCGGCGUAGAGCUGUGGAGCGCGUGGAGCGCCCUUGCGGUCUGGACUGCGAUGCGGACCCGGCGCGACCAGCUGAGGCUCGAGGACGAGAGCUUGGAGUGGAGCACGUCGUGCAAGCUGCCGUUGGCCAUGAACUCCACAACCAGGAGGACUUCGUCGUUGCGCUCGCAGAAGCCCAGCAAGUUGACGACGUGAGGGCACUCGAUCUGGGAGAGGAUAAAGCGCUCCUUGCUGGUGGAAGGAUUCGCGGUGGUGCAAGUGGCCCGCUUCACCGCUGCAAGCUGGCCGUUCUUGAGGACUGCCUUGUAAACCGAGCCAUAGCUUCCCCGUCCCAGCAAGUUCUCCUCGGCAAAGUUGCCAGUGGCCAGCUCCAAGUCUCUAAACUUGUAGAUUGUGAGCAGCCUAACCCGGUCCUGACAGCGCCUCGGACCAAGACACCAGAGCUUGGAGAGAGCUCCCAUAGCUUAGAGAUAAAAUGGAAACUUUAAGUAAGACCUGAAGGAUCGAAGUAGCGGAAGCUCGAGAAUUUCGUUGAUGGAGUCGAUGGCAUGGCUGUUUGAUGGCCGCCCUUGAGAAGCAAAGGCUAAACUGAGGGGCAGAAUUAGAUAGACGCGGCGAACAAAGCCUAGGAAUAAUCGCCAAGGAUACAAACAAUGACCCGGCCCUCGACGAGGAAACCGACCGCGCGAGAGAGGAGAUAACGUAAAAAAAAAAAAAGUAUCAAACGAACCGUUCGGAGGCUCCUCUUAGUCGACGGGCCAAAUGUAAGUCCUUGGGCACUGGUAUAGAAACUGUCAGCCAGUUCCAAAACAAAGAACUCUUUUCUCUCUUUCAAAUGCUUACUUAUGGUGACUCUCUUGCCGUGAAUGGCACAUAAGUUGGUGUCUUCGAAGAGAUGAACAAGGUAGUCCUCGGCAGCCUGUGCAAAACAAAGCAAAGAUUUCAAGCGAGAAACCACGAAAAGAAAGAACAAAGAAGAAAAGGAGCGCUCUUUCGACCUCUUGGAGAGCUAUCAAUCCUUCGGCAGUCCAUCUGGAUACCUCCGACGAGAAAACGUUCGUGAUCUCUCUCACCUAUCGCAAAAGCUUUGUCAGAGACUAGAGAGGCAAAAAAGAGAGGAAAAAAAAAAAAGAACUUGGAGAACUCACCACUCUUGCGAAUGGCAAUGGCCUGAGAAGUAGCUCAUAACUCUUUUGAAAGCGUCGGAUCUCCCGCAACGCCACAGUCCCGGGCUUAAACCUGCGCUUGCCGUGUGGCUUGUUCUGCUGGGCGCCGGCUCUGCUCGUCCCAGCGCCAUCGCCGCCCGCUGCGCACUCCAUGGAUCAAACCGCACCCCAAGAAUCUCAAAGAAAAGCCGCCUACCUGGUGGUCGCCCUCGCUUCCUCGGCGUCGAUUUCCUCCUCUUGGCCAUGGCAAAAACCCUCCUCUCGCUCCUGCGAUCCCCUACCGCCGACUGAUCACCGGCAGGGAGCCGAGAUCACACUGCUCCUCCUCCCUUCUCUUGAUCGAGCCCUGGAGCUAGGUCCAUUUCCCGCCCAGCUCCAAGGGAUCCAAUGAGAGAAUCUUUUCUCCACGACACCAGGAUAUUCCGCCUAAAAUAGCAACCCCUGCUUUAAUGCCCCUUUCUUUAAAGGGGCACAGUCGUAAAAACUCGAUUUUUUUACAUGCGAGCGAGAGAUUUACUUGCUGGGAGGAAUUCGCGGCUCCCUGGUCAUCGAAUCCACAACAAAGUCUAUCAGGCAUGGCUCGUACCUUGAGAGAAAAAAGAGAAGAGAAAAGAUUGGCUCACAGUUUUUCCAUCUUCUCGACGAUGAGGCCCAGCUUUUCUCUAUCGCCCGCCUUCUUGAACACAUCGUAUAACACCUGCAUCGUGUCCACUGACCACUUCCAUCCCGCCAUCUCCAUAUCUUCGGAAACCUCCAUCGCCAUCUUGCCGUCGCCGUGCUUUGCGAAACCCCGGACGAGCAGCUCGUAAGUCGAAGCAUACAUCCGCCACCUUGAAACCGCCUUCAUGGAUCUGUAAAGGCCGCCCAGCUUCUCGGCUGCCGAGUUCUCGAAGAACGCCGAAACCACCUCGUCCAGCACCUCCGGGUCCAUGAAAGCUCUGCCUUGCUUCACAACUCUCUUCAUCUCGUGCUCCACCUGGUCGAAUUCACCGGCGGUUAGAAACGCGUCCAGGAUCACUCCGUUGAGACGAGUCGUGUAGACGGUUCUCGGAGCCUGCUCCAGGAUGGCUGUUAUGUCUUUGAUCUUGGAGAACAUCUUGUUCUUGGUGUAAACCCGGAUCAUACGCUGAGCAGCGAUAGCACCGAUUGGAAGCCCGCUCUUUUGCCGAUCCGCAAAAGCCUGCUCCAUCCUCUCCACCAUGUUGAGCUUUUGAUAUCCGUGUAGCAAGAUCCCGAAGGUGAAGACGUCCGGCUUGCAAGAGAGUUGCAUCUCCCUGUAUCUCUCGUCAACCUUCGCAAGGCUUCCCUUCUUCAAGUAGGAGAAGAGCAGCGUGUUGUAAGUGACUACGUUGGGAGUGAGCCCGGCUUUCCUCAGUUCUUCCAGCCAUUUUUCCAUCUGGACGAUGUCCGAGCUUCUGCCGUAUGCCGCUAGAAUCGUGUUGUAAGUGGAGACGUUGGGUGGGCACUCGGCCCACUUCAUGUUCUCGAGCAUCUUUUCGGCCGCUUCAAUCUCUCCACUCCGGCAGAAGACGCUUACCAGAGCAUUGUACGUCGGCGUGGACAUCUUGAUUCCUUUGAUCUUCAUCUCGGAGACCCAAGCGUGAGCGAGCUGCGGCAUUCCAAUGCUUCCGGCGUACGCGAUCAUGUUUGAGUAUAUCUGAGGCUUGCUAGCAUCAGGGAACUCUUGCCUGAUCCAGUCGAAAACCUGACAAGGGAAUGCAGGAGUUCGAAAGAAAUCCCAGGAGCAAAAGUUCUAAGAACACAAAGGACGAAGAAAAGAAAAACUAUCAAGGAAUGCGUACCGGAACGCGAGCAAGAACACCUCACGAACAAAGGAAAACUAUAACAAAAAGAACGUCUUCCUAGAAGAAAUCGAAACUCCACUCACCUCGAUGCACAGGAAUUUGCUCCUGGCCUUCUUCUGCAGAGUCUGGAUCAGCGGCUUCCAGAAAUUGCAGUUGCGCAUCAGACCUAGCUUGGAUCGCAGCACAUCCUGCCGGCAUUGCUGGCUUGGUGCCGCCUCCAAUCGCCUCAGCAUCAGCCUGGCUGAAAUCGCCAGCCUUCCAUCUUUAAUCCUAGGCGUCGGCGAUGAUCCGACAGUAGCCACGCUGCUGCAUUGGCGACGCAGCUGAAACGAUUUCAAAAAUUUCAGCAUCCACAAGAACCCUAAUAGUACGAACGAGAUCUACAAAUGUACGGUAGACAAAAACCCCUGCUUCAGGGUUUAUGCGUUCUUAUUGAUGCCAUAGAAAUACACAGCGAGAUGGAAUUCCUUUCUUCUUCUUUCCGAGCUCCGGUCAAAAUGUGGGCUCUAAAUCGAACGAAAAUCCGGCUCCAGCAGCUCU
rnacentral:lncRNA from 1 species